GGUUAAGCGACUAAGCGUACACGGUGGAUGCCCUGGCAGUCAGAGGCGAUGAAGGACGUGCUAAUCUGCGAAAAGCGUCGGUAAGGUGAUAUGAACCGUUAUAACCGGCGAUGUCCGAAUGGGGAAACCCAGUGCAAUUCGUUGCACUAUCGUUAACUGAAUACAUAGGUUAACGAGGCGAACCGGGGGAACUGAAACAUCUAAGUACCCCGAGGAAAAGAAAUCAACCGAGAUUCCCCCAGUAGCGGCGAGCGAACGGGGAGCAGCCCAGAGUCUGAAUCAGCUUGUGUGUUAGUGGAACGGUCUGGAAAGUCCGACGGUACAGGGUGAUAGUCCCGUACACCAAAAUGCACAGGUUGUGAACUCGAAGAGUAGGGCGGGACACGUGGUAUCCUGUCUGAAUAUGGGGGGACCAUCCUCCAAGGCUAAAUACUCCUGACUGACCGAUAGUGAACCAGUACCGUGAGGGAAAGGCGAAAAGAACCCCGGCGAGGGGAGUGAAAAAGAACCUGAAACCGUGUACGUACAAGCAGUGGGAGCACCUUCGGGUGUGACUGCGUACCUUUUGUAUAAUGGGUCAGCGACUUAUAUUCUGUAGCAAGGUUAACCGUAUAGGGGAGCCGCAGGGAAACCGAGUCUUAACUGGGCGUUAAGUUGCAGGGUAUAGACCCGAAACCCGGUGAUCUAGCCAUGGGCAGGUUGAAGGUUGGGUAACACUAACUGGAGGACCGAACCGACUAAUGUUGAAAAAUUAGCGGAUGACUUGUGGCUGGGGGUGAAAGGCCAAUCAAACCGGGAGAUAGCUGGUUCUCCCCGAAAGCUAUUUAGGUAGCGCCUCGUGAACUCAUCUUCGGGGGUAGAGCACUGUUUCGGCUAGGGGGUCAUCCCGACUUACCAACCCGAUGCAAACUACGAAUACCGAAGAAUGUUAUCACGGGAGACACACGGCGGGUGCUAACGUCCGUCGUGAAGAGGGAAACAACCCAGACCGCCAGCUAAGGUCCCAAAGUCAUGGUUAAGUGGGAAACGAUGUGGGAAGGCACAGACAGCCAGGAUGUUGGCUUAGAAGCAGCCAUCAUUUAAAGAAAGCGUAAUAGCUCACUGGUCGAGUCGGCCUGCGCGGAAGAUGUAACGGGGCUAAACCAUGCACCGAAGCUGCGGCAGCGACACUAUGUGUUGUUGGGUAGGGGAGCGUUCUGUAAGCCUGCGAAGGUGACCUGUGAGGGUUGCUGGAGGUAUCAGAAGUGCGAAUGCUGACAUAAGUAACGAUAAAGCGGGUGAAAAGCCCGCUCGCCGGAAGACCAAGGGUUCCUGUCCAACGUUAAUCGGGGCAGGGUGAGUCGACCCCUAAGGCGAGGCCGAAAGGCGUAGUCGAUGGGAAACAGGUUAAUAUUCCUGUACUUGGUGUUACUGCGAAGGGGGGACGGAGAAGGCUAUGUUAGCCGGGCGACGGUUGUCCCGGUUUAAGCAUGUAGGCUGGUUAUCCAGGCAAAUCCGGAUAAUCAAGGCUGAGGUGUGAUGACGAGGCACUACGGUGCUGAAGUAACAAAUGCCCUGCUUCCAGGAAAAGCCUCUAAGCAUCAGGUAACAUCAAAUCGUACCCCAAACCGACACAGGUGGUCAGGUAGAGAAUACCAAGGCGCUUGAGAGAACUCGGGUGAAGGAACUAGGCAAAAUGGUGCCGUAACUUCGGGAGAAGGCACGCUGGUGUGUAGGUGAAGUCCCUGCGGAUGGAGCUGAGACCAGUCGAAGAUACCAGCUGGCUGCAACUGUUUAUUAAAAACACAGCACUGUGCAAACACGAAAGUGGACGUAUACGGUGUGACGCCUGCCCGGUGCCGGAAGGUUAAUUGAUGGGGUUAUCCGUAAGGAGAAGCUCUUGAUCGAAGCCCCGGUAAACGGCGGCCGUAACUAUAACGGUCCUAAGGUAGCGAAAUUCCUUGUCGGGUAAGUUCCGACCUGCACGAAUGGCGUAAUGAUGGCCAGGCUGUCUCCACCCGAGACUCAGUGAAAUUGAACUCGCUGUGAAGAUGCAGUGUACCCGCGGCAAGACGGAAAGACCCCGUGAACCUUUACUAUAGCUUGACACUGAACAUUGAGCCUUGAUGUGUAGGAUAGGUGGGAGGCUUUGAAGCGUGGACGCCAGUCUGCGUGGAGCCAACCUUGAAAUACCACCCUUUAAUGUUUGAUGUUCUAACGUUGGCCCCUGACCGGGGUUGCGGACAGUGUCUGGUGGGUAGUUUGACUGGGGCGGUCUCCUCCCAAAGCGUAACGGAGGAGCACGAAGGUUAGCUAAUCCUGGUCGGACAUCAGGAGGUUAGUGCAAUGGCAUAAGCUAGCUUGACUGCGAGCGUGACGGCGCGAGCAGGUGCGAAAGCAGGUCAUAGUGAUCCGGUGGUUCUGAAUGGAAGGGCCAUCGCUCAACGGAUAAAAGGUACUCCGGGGAUAACAGGCUGAUACCGCCCAAGAGUUCAUAUCGACGGCGGUGUUUGGCACCUCGAUGUCGGCUCAUCACAUCCUGGGGCUGAAGUAGGUCCCAAGGGUAUGGCUGUUCGCCAUUUAAAGUGGUACGCGAGCUGGGUUUAGAACGUCGUGAGACAGUUCGGUCCCUAUCUGCCGUGGGCGCUGGAGAAUUGAGGGGGGCUGCUCCUAGUACGAGAGGACCGGAGUGGACGCAUCACUGGUGUUCGGGUUGUCAUGCCAAUGGCACUGCCCGGUAGCUAAAUGCGGAAGAGAUAAGUGCUGAAAGCAUCUAAGCACGAAACUUGCCCCGAGAUGAGUUCUCCCUGAGACUUUAAGUCUCCUGAAGGAACGUU
rnacentral:rRNA from 1 species